rnacentral:rRNA from 1 species
AACGAACGCUGGCGGCGUGGAUAAGACAUGCAAGUCGAACGGGACUAAAUCUGUAGCAAUACAGGUUUAGUUUAGUGGCGAACGGGUGCGUAACACGUGGGCAAUCUGCCGAGAAGUGGGGAGUAGCUCGCCGAAAGGACGAAUUAAUACCGCAUAUGAUCAGUGAAGACAUCUUCACGACAUCAAAGACCGGGGCGAACCUGGCGCUUCUUGAUGAGCCCGCCGGCCUAUCAGCUAGUUGGUGAGGUAACGGCUCACCAAGGCUAUGACGGGUAGCUGGUCUGAGAGGACGACCAGUCACACUGGAACUGAGACACGGUCCAGACACCUACGGGUGGCAGCAGUCGAGAAUUUUUCUUCAA